rnacentral:rRNA from 1 species
UAGGGAAUCUUCCGCAAUGGGCGAAAGCCUGACGGAGCAACGCCGCGUGAGUGAUGAAGGUCUUCGGAUCGUAAAACUCUGUUAUUAGGGAAGAACAAAUGUGUAAGUAACUAUGCACGUCUUGACGGUACCUAAUCAGAAAGCCACGGCUAACUACGUGCCAGCAGCCGCGGUAAUACGUAGGUGGCAAGCGUUAUCCGGAAUUAUUGGGCGUAAAGCGCGCGUAGGCGGUUUUUUAAGUCUGAUGUGAAAGCCCACGGCUCAACCGUGGAGGGUCAUUGGAAACUGGAAAACUUGAGUGCAGAAGAGGAAAGUGGAAUUCCAUGUGUAGCAGUGAAAUGCGCAGAGAUAUGGAGGAACACCAGUGGCGAAGGCGACUUUCUGGUCUGUAACUGACGCUGAUGUGAGAAAGCGUGGGGAGCAAACAGG